rnacentral:rRNA from 1 species
UACAGAGGUCUCAAGCGUUGUUCGGAUUCAUUGGGCGUAAAGGGUGCGUAGGCGGCGCGGUAAGUCGGGUGUGAAAUCUUGGAGCUUAACUCCGAAACUGCAUUCGAUACUGCCGUGCUUGAGGACUGGAGAGGAGACUGGAAUUUACGGUGUAGCGGUGAAAUGCGUAGAUAUCGUAAGGAAGACCAGUGGCGAAAGCGGCUUCCUGGUCCAGCACCGACGUUCAGGCACGAAAGCGUGGGGAGCAAACAGG